CACGUAGGGUGCGAGCGUUGUCCGGAUUUAUUGGGCGUAAAGAGCUCGUAGGCGGUUCGGCAAGUCAGCUGUGAAAUCUCCACGCUCAACGUGGAGGGGUCAGCUGAUACUGCUGUGACUCGAGUCCGGUAGGGGAGUGUGGAAUUCCCGGUGUAGCGGUGAAAUGCGCAGAUAUCGGGAGGAACACCAGUAGCGAAGGCGGCACUCUGGGCCGGUACUGACGCUGAGGAGCGAAAGCGUGGGGAGCAAACAGG
rnacentral:rRNA from 1 species